GUUGAAACAUCGGUUCCCGUACGAUCACCGGUUAAGCAACGUCGAGCCUGGUCAGUACCUAGAUGGUUGUCUACUUGGGAAAACCAGAUGCUGUAAG